UCCGUAGGUGAACCUGCGGAGGGAUCAUUACCGAGUUUACAACUCCCAAACCCAUGUGAACAUACCUACUGUUGCUUCGGCGGGAUUGCCCCGGGCGCCUCGUGUGCCCCGGAUCAGGCGCCCGCCUAGGAAACUUAACUCUUGUUUUAUUUUGGAAUCUUCUGAGUAGUUUUUACAAAUAAAUAAAAACUUUCAACAACGGAUCUCUUGGUUCUGGCAUCGAUGAAGAACGCAGCGAAAUGCGAUAAGUAAUGUGAAUUGCAGAAUUCAGUGAAUCAUCGAAUCUUUGAACGCACAUUGCGCCCGCCAGUAUUCUGGCGGGCAUGCCUGUCUGAGCGUCAUUUCAACCCUCAUGCCCCUAGGGCGUGGUGUUGGGGAUCGGCCAAAGCCCGCGAGGGACGGCCGGCCCCUAAAUCUAGUGGCGGACCCGUCGUGGCCUCCUCUGCGAAGUAGUGAUAUUCCGCAUCGGAGAGCGACGAGCCCCUGCCGUUAAACCCCCAACUUUCCAAGGUUGACCUCAGAUCAGGUAGGAAUACCCGCUGAACUUAAGCAUAUCAAUAAGCGGAGGA
rnacentral:rRNA from 1 species